AGGCGACGACGGGUAGCCGGCCUGAGAGGGCGAUCGGCCACACUGGGACUGAGACACGGCCCAGACUCCUACGGGAGGCAGCAGUGGGGAAUAUUGCACAAUGGGCGAAAGCCUGAUGCAGCGACGCCGCGUGAGGGAUGAAGGCCUUCGGGUUGUAAACCUCUUUCAGUAGGGAAGAAGCGAAAGUGACGGUACCUACAGAAGAAGCACCGGCUAACUACGUGCCAGCAGCCGCGGUAAUACGUAGGGUGCGAGCGUUGUCCGGAAUUAUUGGGCGUAAAGAGCUUGUAGGCGGUUUGUCGCGUCUGCCGUGAAAAUCCGGGGCUCAACUCCGGACUUGCGGUGGGUACGGGCAGACUAGAGUGUGGUAGGGGAGACUGGAAUUCCUGGUGUAGCGGUGAAAUGCGCAGAUAUCAGGAGGAACACCGAUGGCGAAGGCAGGUCUCUGGGCCACUACUGACGCUGAGAAGCGAAAGCGUGGGGAGCGAACAGGAUUAGAUACCCUGGUAGUCCACGCCGUAAACGUUGGGAACUAGGUGUGGGUCUCAUUCCACGAGAUCCGUGCCGUAGCUAACGCAUUAAGCGCCCCGCCUGGGGAGUACGGCCGCAAGGCUAAAACUCAAAGAAAUUGACGGGGGCCCGCACAAGCGGCGGAGCAUGUGGAUUAAUUCGAUGCAACGCGAAGAACCUUACCUGGGCUUGACAUAUAGAGGAUCGCUACAGAGAUGUGGUUUCCCUUGUGGCUUCUAUACAGGUGGUGCAUGGUUGUCGUCAGCUCGUGUCGUGAGAUGUUGGGUUAAGUCCCGCAACGAGCGCAACCCUUGUCUUAUGUUGCCAGCACGUUAUGGUGGGGACUCGUGAGAGACUGCCGGGGUCAACUCGGAGGAAG
rnacentral:rRNA from 1 species